GAAGAACUGUGUCUCUGAAGUUUGGGAAGUAUACGUAGACAUGGAGUCUGGCCUUGAGCUUUCUGUAGUAGAAAGGCCCAUGUCAGCAGCCCUUAAAGGGACAGGGUGAGGUGUACUCGGGGGAAAGAUGGUAGUAACCAUACUCCUCCCAAUUUUCCGUGAUACACCACAGUGUAAAAGAGGACCCCAGUGGUUUCCACGGCUACACAGAAAAUUCAUGGAGGGUAGCAGAAGAAGAUGAGCCAUGGAGCUGCCAGGUGGCUGCCAGUCCAAUCUUUUAAGGUUCAAUUUAGGGAAAAGGACUUUUUCUCAGUAAGCCCUGAUACCUUGAUGUGAGAAGGCCAAGAAGAAGCCUAUAGAGAUGCCCACAAGAGGAGACUAAAGCUGAGAGAAACUGAGGCCCCUGGCCCUAGAGCUUUCACUGAGCUCCAGCUGACAACCAUCAUCAAAUCACCAGCCAUGUGACUGUGCCAUGAUGGGAGGGAAUCACCCAGUGUCCAAAUGAUCUGAUGCCACAUGUAAAAGAGAAGAGCCUUCCCCUUUGAGCCCUGCCCAGAUUGCUACUCUGCACCAAGAGUGCUCACACACCUUGGAAUGGUGGAGCUUUCAAGGAUGCAGAGAAUCACUUCCCUUUUUAGAGCCCUCAUACCUUCACCUUCUCAACCUUUUCUCUGUUACUUGGGCCACUUCUUCCUGGCUUGUCACUGCUUCUGCUUCUUCUCCUUUUUCAUUUGGCAGGCCCAGCGUUUGUAUUCAGGCUCCUUGGCUCAGAUUUUUUUCUGAUAUUUUUAUCAACUUUCUGGAAAAUGGGAGGGGCUCUUUAUUGUGUCUCACUCAAGACUGUUUUUUGUUUUGUUUUGUUUUGGAGGGAAAAUAAUUGGCUUCUUAUCUCCAGAAAAGAAACACGCAAGAAACUAACAACCCAACCACCCUUAGCUCUGGGACUUCCUACUCCCAGCCUUUAAGACUCAUCUACUGUGAAGUGAAGGUAUAAAUGGUGCUUCAGAACCUCUUGCCCUUUAACUUUCAAUGAUCAGAAUAGGCUCUGAAGUGGAAAUAACAGUGAGAUUAUGAGUUAUCAUCUGGGCCCACAAUAGACUUCUAAGAAUGGGAUAAUUUAUCAUUUGGGGAAAAGGUAAACUUAUAAUAAAAAAUGCCUCAUCUCAUGCAGUACUUUCCACGCAGACAUAAAUGUAAUAUUUAUGUCUCAGAGAAAUCAGGGCCACAAAAAUAAAGUGAGUAGAGAGUAUUGUUGAGACUCAAAAAUGCAGUUUUUCCAACUUUAAUUCUCCAUCUUUCAUGGCAGCUUUGGUCUUUAUGCUUAUGAGUCAUAGUAAGAAAAUUUUGAAACAAAGCUGACAAGAUUUAUGAAAAUUUCAUUCCAUUAGUUUUUGGAAGAAAGUAGGCAUUCGUUUCUCUCAUAUGUCAGUGUCUCAACUGUGUUGAGCACUACAGCAAAAACGUUG
rnacentral:lncRNA from 1 species